GGUAUAGCUCAGUGGUAAAGCACUUGCCUGGCAUGCGUGAGGCCCUGGGUUCAAAUCCCAGAACUACCA
rnacentral:tRNA from 1 species